rnacentral:lncRNA from 1 species
AGACUGAACCAGGAAACAGUCCAAGUGACUAAUGACAAGAAAGCUCUAAUGACAGUCAUUUUGGUGGUUCCAGUUCUUUUUCUGAGGUUUGGACAUAUGAGGCCCUUGGUGACCUCUAAGAGAAGACUGAGUCGCAAAUCCACGAUAAAGCAACUGACUGGGGCCUGGGAGGCAGAAGAUGCAGAGCACAGGCUCCCCCAGACCAGGAUUCAGAUCUUACCUCCCAGAAGAGAGGAACACUUCUUGAAUAAAUACCCUGAGUAAACUGCACAAUGCUUGGCAUAUAAAUUGAC